GACGUAGGGUGCAAGCGUUAUCCGGAAUGAUUGGGCGUAAAGCGUCCGCAGGUGGCUAUGUAAGUCUGCUGUUAAAGAGUCUAGCUCAACUAGAUAAGAGCAGUGGAAACUACAAGGCUAGAGUACGUUCGGGGCAGAGGGAAUUCCUGGUGUAGCGGUGAAAUGCGUAGAGAUCAGGAAGAACACCAGUGGCGAAGGCGCUCUGCUAGGCCGUAACUGACACUGAGGGACGAAAGCUAGGGGAGCGAAUGGG
rnacentral:rRNA from 1 species